GAUGAACGCUGGCGGCGUGCCUAAUACAUGCAAGUCGAGCGAACAGAUAAGGAGCUUGCUCCUUUGACGUUAGCGGCGGACGGGUGAGUAACACGUGGAUAACCUACCUAUAAGACUGGGAUAACUUCGGGAAACCGGAGCUAAUACCGGAUAACAUAUUGAACCGCAUGGUUCAAUAGUGAAAGGCGGCUUUGCUGUCACUUAUAGAUGGAUCCGCGCCGUAUUAGCUAGUUGGUAAGGUAACGGCUUACCAAGGCAACGAUACGUAGCCGACCUGAGAGAGUGAUCGGCCACACUGGAACUGAGACACGGUCCAGGCUCCUACGGGAGGCAGCAGUAGGGAAUCUUCCGCAAUGGGCGAAAGCCUGACGGAGCAACGCCGCGUGAGUGAUGAAGGUCUUCGGAUCGUAAAACUCUGUUAUCAGGGAAGAACAGAUGUGUAAGUAGCUGUGCACAUCUUGACGGUACCUGAUCAGAAAGCCACGGCUAACUACGUG
rnacentral:rRNA from 1 species